CACGUAGGGCGCAAGCGUUGUCCGGAAUUAUUGGGCGUAAAGAGCUCGUAGGCGGUUUGUUGCGUCGGCUGUGAAAUCCCGAGGCUCAACCUCGGGUCUGCAGUCGAUACGAGCAAACUAGAGUGUUGCAGGGGAGACUGGAAUUCCUGGUGUAGCGGUGAAAUGCGCAGAUAUCAGGAGGAACACCGGUGGCGAAGGCGGCAUCCUGGACCGGCAUUGACGCUGAGGCGCGAAAGCCAGGGGAGCAAACGGG
rnacentral:rRNA from 1 species